GUGUCAGCAGCCGCGGUAAUACGGAGGGUGCUAGCGUUGUUCGGAAUUAUUGGGCGUAAAGAGCGUGUAGGCGGCCUCGUAAGUCAGAUGUGAAAGCCCUUGGCUUAACCAAGGAAGUGCAUUUGAAACUGCCUGGCUUGAGUACGGGAGGGGAAAGCGGAAUUCCCGGUGUAGAGGUGAAAUUCGUAGAUAUCGGGAGGAACACCGGUGGCGAAGGCGGCUUUCUGGACCGAUACUGACGCUGAGACGCGAAAGCGUGGGGAGCAAACAGGAUUAGAUACCCUGGUAGUCC
rnacentral:rRNA from 1 species